rnacentral:rRNA from 1 species
UACGGAGGGGGCUAGCGUUGUUCGGAAUUACUGGGCGUAAAGCGCGCGUCGGCGGACUGUUAAGUCGGGGGUGAAAUCCCGGGGCUCAACCCCGGAACUGCCUUCGAUACUGGCGGUCUAGAGGUCUGGAUAGGUGAGUGGAAUUUCGCGUGUAGAGGUGAAAUUCGUAGAAAUUCGGAGGAACGCCAGUGGCGACGGCGGCUCACUGGCCAGAUUCCGACGCUGAGGUGCGAAAGCGUGGGGAGCAAACAGG